UCCCUUUUCUGUUCACCUAUAUAUGGAGUAGGCAGUGGGUGGAUCUGAAAGUAGGGGUGUGUGCGCACAGAUUUGAGGGAGAAUUUAGCCAGGAAAGCUGGACUUGAAUUGCUCUGCAAAGUCAACUCCUGCGAAGGGCUAACAUCCAACUCUCAGGAGCAUCAAGCACCCAUCCAGGCGGACCACUCUGGACCAUUCAAGAGAAAAAUUAAGUCCUUUAUGUUUUGUAACUAUUAGUUUUGAUUAUCAGCUGGGAGGGGAGUUUUCUUGACUAAUAAUUUUUAAAGGUUUUUCUUAUUUUUAUGUGUGGCUGUGAAUUUUUUUAAAGAAAAUAUUUUAGAGCAAGCAAUUAGCAGCUGCCUGAAGUAAUCUAAACUCCAUUAGGAUAUUUCAGGUAUGGUCACUGAUAUAAAAUGUGAAAAUAUUUUAAGAAUUUUAAAGAGCCAAAUGGACACGGAUGAUUGUGAAUACCAAUCUGAAUUUUACUAACAUUUUGGCAGCAAAAAUCACUGAUAUUCAGAAAGAACACCUGGAGGAAUAACACCAGUCAAGCAAGCAUUUUAUUGUCUUCUUUUUUCAGCCACCUUGAGCACUAUUCUGAGAGGAAAGGCAGGAUAGAAAUUUAAUAUAUAAGCAACAGUGAGAAAGAACUGGAUUUAUGACGAUAUGGAAACAAGAGAACUCUUUUAAUUCUGUACCAAAACCUCUAUUCAGGAACAAAAGCUAUAGUUUAUCGUUUUUAUCCAUAUGCACAAAGAACAAUUUGCUUUUGUUUUUAAGUUCUAACUUGAGUUACCAGGCUAAACUGAUUUAUUAGCGCUCCCUGUUGAAGUAAGUUCUUCCCUUUAUCUGGACCCUGAAAACUAACAUUUUGGACACCCGAAACGUUGGCUGUGACCAACACUGCCUCUGGUCUACUGUGACAACAUCAAAAGUACCCACUGUCCGUGGUUCUUGUAAGUGCUGGCAUGGAGGAAGUGUGGGUUGUCUAUCUGUGCAUGAUCCUCUUCGUCAUCGUCAUUAUUUUGAUGAAGCAAAAGCCAGCUGACGAAGUCAGGCGAGAGAAAGCGGAUCAGAGCCAGCCAGCUCCAGCUACUUCUUUCACCGGCAGUUUGGGGAAACGCCUGGAGUAUACCGAGGAAGAACUGGAGAAAUCGCUGCAUCGACUCUCUGGUAUCUUGUUCGGUGGUGAUGCACGGAAGAGGGAGCCUCAUGCAGAGCACCAAGCUGCUCAGCAUCACAGCAGGACUCAGGAGAAAGCGUAGCAGCCUUCCAGGCAUGACAAUCUUUUCGCUGAGAUGGGACUGAAACAACAGACGAAUUUUAGAUCCAGCACGCUCCAUUUCGCACUGUGGGCAACUGAUGCUUGAAGCUUGUUGCAUCUUUGCUGAAGGAAGAGAUGUCCAAAUACAAGAAAAACAGGAGGCGAACUCCCACUUUCCCUCUGGACCCCAAAGCUGCAUGUUCGCCACAACUGUUAGGCUUUUAAUGCGAGUUUUGUGAAAGGCAAAUAUUAUUCUGUGUGAGGUCAA